CUUCCAGGAAAAGCCUCUAAGCUUCAGAUAGUCAGGAAUCGUACCCCAAACCGACACAGGUGGUCGGGUAGAGAAUACCAAGGCGCUUGAGAGAACUCGGGUGAAGGAACUAGGCAAAAUGGUACCGUAACUUCGGGAGAAGGUACGCUCUUGAUGGUGAAGUCCCUCGCGGAUGGAGCUGACGAGAGUCGCAGAUACCAGGUGGCUGCAACUGUUUAUUAAAAACACAGCACUGUGCAAAAUCGCAAGAUGACGUAUACGGUGUGACGCCUGCCCGGUGCCGGAAGGUUAAUUGAUGGGGUUAGCGCAAGCGAAGCUCUUGAUCGAAGCCCCGGUAAACGGCGGCCGUAACUAUAACGGUCCUAAGGUAGCGAAAUUCCUUGUCGGGUAAGUUCCGACCUGCACGAAUGGCGUAAUGAUGGCCACGCUGUCUCCACCCGAGACUCAGUGAAAUUGAAAUCGCUGUGAAGAUGCAGUGUACCCGCGGCUAGACGGAAAGACCCCGUGAACCUUUACUACAGCUUGGCACUGAACAUUGAACCUACAUGUGUAGGAUAGGUGGGAGGCUAUGAAGACGUGACGCCAGUUGCGUUGGAGCCGUCCUUGAAAUACCACCCUUGUAUGUUUGAUGUUCUAACUUAGACCCGUUAUCCGGGUUGAGGACAGUGCCUGGUGGGUAGUUUGACUGGGGCGGUCUCCUCCCAAAGAGUAACGGAGGAGCACGAAGGUGGGCUAAUCACGGUUGGACAUCGUGAGGUUAGUGCAAUGGCAUAAGCCCGCUUAACUGCGAGAAUGACGGUUCGAGCAGGUGCGAAAGCAGGUCAUAGUGAUCCGGUGGUUCUGUAUGGAAGGGCCAUCGCUCAACGGAUAAAAGGUACUCCGGGGAUAACAGGCUGAUACCGCCCAAGAGUUCAUAUCGACGGCGGUGUUUGGCACCUCGAUGUCGGCUCAUCACAUCCUGGGGCUGAAGUCGGUCCCAAGGGUAUGGCUGUUCGCCAUUUAAAGUGGUACGCGAGCUGGGUUUAGAACGUCGUGAGACAGUUCGGUCCCUAUCUGCCGUGGGCGUUGGAAGAUUGAAGGGGGCUGCUCCUAGUACGAGAGGACCGGAGUGGACGAACCUCUGGUGUUCGGGUUGUGUCGCCAGACGCAUUGCCCGGUAGCUAAGUUCGGAAUUGAUAAGCGCUGAAAGCAUCUAAGCGCGAAGCGAGCCCUGAGAUGAGUCUUCCCUGACAGUUUAACUGUCCUAAAGGGUUGUUCGAGACUAGAACGUUGAUAGGCAGGGUGUGUAAGCGUUGUGAGGCGUUGAGCUAACCUGUACUAAUUGCCCGUGAGGCUUAACCAU
rnacentral:rRNA from 1 species